AAUGGCUUUGGGGUGCAUUGUGCUGUGGUGUUCCAGGUAUACCGUGCUACUUCUGCUCCUGCUGUGAGAAGAAUGAUGAUGAUAGGGAGCGACCCAGAGUAAAUCGAACUGCAACAGCCGAACGAAUGUCCCGUCCCCACCGUCCCCACGCACCCAGAAGCAGAAAAUCCACCCCAGAAAUGUUGUCAGCAGUCCGCUGCGCCCUUUCUCAGCUUCAAGGUGAACCAGCACCACCGUUACCCAGCAGAAAGUCAAAACACGCACCGGAACCAGGGUGAAUAAAAUAAAAAUUAAAUUUUUCGCC